CGCCCUUGCUCAGUAACACGUGGAUAACCUGCCCUAAGGAAGGGGAUAACCUCGGGAAACUGAGGAUAAUACCCUAUAGGUUACAGACGCUGGAAUGCCCUGUAACCGAAAGCUCCGGCGCCUUAGGAUGGAUCUGCGGCCGAUUAGGUUGUUGUUGGGGUAACGGCCCAACAAGCCGAUAAUCGGUACGGGUUGUGGGAGCAAGAGCCCGGAGUUGGAUUCUGAGACACGAAUCCAGGCCCUACGGGGCGCAGCAGGCGCGAAAACUUUACAAUGCGGGAAACCGUGAUAAGGGAACCUCGAGUGCCUGUAUAUGCAGGCUGUCCAGGUGUCUAAAAAACACCUGAAGAAAGGGCCGGGCAAGACCGGUGCCAGCCGCCGCGGUAAUACCGGCGGCUCGAGUGGUGGCCACUUUUAUUGGGCUUAAAGCGUUCGUAGCUGGGUUGUUAAGUCUCUUGGGAAAUCUGACGGCUCAACCGUCAGGCGUCCAAGGGAUACUGGCAAUCUUGGAACCGGGAGAGGUGAGGGGUACUUCGGGGGUAGGAGUGAAAUCCUGUAAUCCUCGAGGGACCACCUGUGGCGAAGGCGCCUCACCAGAACGGCUUCGACAGUGAGGGACGAAAGCUGGGGGAGCAAACCGGAUUAGAUACCCGGGUAGUCCCAGCCCUAAACGAUGCGCGUUAGGUGUAUCGGUGACCACGAGUCACCGAGGUGCCGAAGGGAAACCGUGAAACGUGCCGCCUGGGAAGUACGGUCGCAAGGCUGAAACUUAAAGGAAUUGGCGGGGGAGCACCACAGCGGGUGGAGCCUGCGGUUUAAUUGGACUCAACGCCGGGAAGCUCACCGGAUAAGACAGCGGAAUGAUUGCCGGGCUGAAGACCCUGCAUGACCAGCUGAGAGGAGGUGCAUGGCCGUCGUCAGUUCGUACUGUGAAGCAUCCUGUUAAGUCAGACAACGAGCGAGACCCACGCCAACAGUUGCCAGCAUGGUCUCCGGACUGAUGGGGACACUGUUGGGACCGCUCUGCUAAAGAGGAGGAAGGAUGGGCAACGG
rnacentral:rRNA from 1 species